rnacentral:misc_RNA from 1 species
UUUCCGUAGGUGAACCUGCGGAAGGAUCAUUACCAGUGCCGCCGGCGCCCGCCCCGACCUCCGGGUCAGAGUGCGCGCCGGUCCGAGCCCCACCCGUGAACACUGAACCUCACGUUGCCUUGGCGGGCCCGCUGCACGCCAGCCGCCGGGGGAUCCCUGCCGGUGCGCUCACCCGCGCCGCGCACAUCCCCGGGCCUGCGCCCGCCAAUGGACCCAAGUGAGCUUCUGAUGGAACAAGAACGUCUGAGUAAUUUGUUAAAUAAACAAAACUUUCAACAACGGAUCUCUUGGUUCCG